GGGGGUUAGUCUCCACGUGACCCGUGUUUACGUUAAGUGAUUUCGCUGCUUCUCUUCGUGUACAGCUCCCACGUCAGAUGAAAACAAAACGGAUUUCUGUGGCCGGGAGCUAACAAGUGAAUUAAAAUGCGUUCACAUAAUUACAGAGGGCAAAAAUACAUUAUUAAUUUCAGUUUCUGAUUUUAUUUUCUUUCCAAGUUAGUAGCAGUCAAGCAUUAAUCGCCUUGCAGAAGAAUGAAGUUAUUUUUGCAAGUUUGCUAAAGAAAUUCCGCUGAGGCAAUCAUUUUAUUUGAAACGAAGUGUUUCAUUUAACAAUUUUGGGUACUUCCAACUGUUCGGUGAAUUUCAAGUGCACGUUAUCAUCUUCUGCCAUGUAUGGCAUUAUGCCAUAAUAAAGAACCAAACAUGAGGUCGUAGAGUACUGGUACUCCAAGAAAAUUUACAUCCCAAAAAUCACACUGAGAAGCUUAAUAUCAGAUGGGACCUACUUCAUUGUGAAUCUGGAAAAAACCAAUGUGCACUUCAAGCCGAAUUAUGCAUUUUAGUAUGAUUCACGAAAUUUUGAUGCCUUUUGGAGUAUCCUCUGAUGCCCUGUUUCUUUUAUGGUGUAGUGUAAGCUCUCUUAGUGCUUUAUACACACGAACAUGCGGGCUUCCUACACCACUGCAGUUGCACACGCACAAUAAUUCGUUUUUGGCGCUCUGUGGCAACUGGUAAAUCGAACCUAUAACUAACAGUAUUGCGAACGGUGGUUAGAAAAGCGUUACUUUCAAAGUAAAUUUCUUUUUACGCAAGAUGAAUUAUGUUACGUGUGUGAAAGUGGGAUGGAUAUCUAAAUCACAGAGCAUUCGAAACUGAACAGUUUGAGGACCAGCCACUUCAAGAAUUUCGAGCCGAGGCAUUUAUGUCACAAUUUUAAAUUUACUGGCACAUUUGUGUGAUGUAUCUUAAAGUAUAUCACACCAAAAAAAGACCAAUAUUACACGUGAAAGCUUAGCUUUUCUUGUAGAUAUACGGUACUGUGUACAUUAAUGUAAACCGUUAACUUUUCCUCUUGUGUGUUCGCGCUAUGUAACCAGUAAUCUUGCUAGUGGCUGGCUAUAACACGUGCCCUAUGCUCUGAAUAGCUGCUGUCAUCAGCUGGCGAGAUCUCGUGGCUUGAGAUAUGACUCGCUUACAAAAGGACAUCACGACCUCGGUUGCAACGCUCCGGAAACUAACAAGCUGUGUUUGGUGCAAUUCGAAUUUAUACUUUCGUAAUACGAAAAUAUGCAGCGUAUAUGUUGCUGUAGAUCAAAGGUCUUUCCAAAACUUCUCUGCUCCGGCUUUUCUUUUUUUUUUCCGGGAAGUUCUACGCGAUUAUAUAAAACGUUAACCAUUCAAAGGAUUGAUAAGUUUUACAGUUCCGAGGGAACUUUUUCUGUGCUAAGUGACAGUAGGUCGCCGGGGAAAAAGCAUAUUUUUUAAACGGGAUAUCCGGGAAUAAACCGGGAAUUUUUUUUCCUUGUCCCUGUAUACACCCUGAACUAUCUAUUUUUAAAUAUUUAAUAGUCACUGCUUCAUUAAUUACCUUACAAUUACGUUUACGGUAGUUGAUCUGUCAGGCUGGUAGAUUUUAUUUUAUAGUUGCGAUACUGGUUAAUUGUGUAGCCAAGCUAUAGUGCCCUCUGCUGGCCUCAGUUUCCUUGCACAAAUGCCAAACACAUUCAGAUCAUCACCAGCACUAUGUACCUACAUGUAUAAUUGAUGUUGAUACUACAUCAGAAUAUUUUAUGGUCUGAAGAUGGUAGUAGCCGAAACCAGUCAUAGUGAAAUGUAAAAAUUUAUAUUAUUCUGACGGAUCUGUAAAAUAAAGAAUGCUUUCAAAAUAACAAUUUUCAGCUGAUGCUGGGAUGAAUGACAAAAAUAUUUCAUGAAAGGCUAGAUAACAAUUUUGUAGUUUGCCUGGUAUUAAGAAGAGGGAAGGGGACUAAUAUGACGAGAAUGCUUAAAAAUGUAUGUCACGCCACUGUAUUCUGUUGAAUGUUAUAUGCUAAAAUAUUAAGUGUUUGUGUGGUUGACUAAUUGUAACACCUUAAUAUGCACUUUGUGUAUCAUUGAAUAAAGUUUGUUGAA